rnacentral:misc_RNA from 1 species
AAGUCGUAACAAGGUUUCCGUAGGUGAACCUGCGGAAGGAUCAUUAUCGUGUUUUUGUUUUGUCCUCUUCGGAGGAUGAACAACAAACGUAUUCACCCAAUCGUGAACUUGUUCUUUUGGGGUUUGGAAGAGUUCAAUUGACCUUUUCCAUUCUUCAAAAUUAAUAUUUCAUCUAAACUUUAUUCACCACUUGUAUUCAAUGUGCUAAACCAAAAUCUUGGAGGAAGCUCUUUUUUCGAAAAGAAGUUUCUGAAAAGAAAGUACGAAAUUGCUGAACAACUCUUAGCAACGGAUAUCUUGGUUCUC